CCCUUAGAUGUUCUGGGCCGCACGCGCGCUACACUGAUGCAUUCAACGAGCCUAUCCUUGCCCGACAGGCCCGGGUAAUCUUUGAAUCUGCAUCGUGACGGGGAUAGAUUAUUGCAAUUAUUAAUCUUCAACGAGGAAUGCCUAGUGGGCGCAAGUCAUCAGCUUGCGUCGAUUACGUCCCUGCCCUUUGUACACACCGCCCGUCGCUCCUACCGAUUGGGUGUGCUGGUGAAAUGUUCGGAUCGGCCGUUUGUCGCGGUUUCCGCGUCAUGUGGCUGAGAAGUUCAUUAAACCCUCCCACCUAGAGGAAGGAGAAGUCGUAACA
rnacentral:rRNA from 1 species